rnacentral:misc_RNA from 1 species
GUAGGUGAACCUGCGGAAGGAUCAUUACCAAAUCCAAAAAAAAACUUUAUCAACACCACAAUGUGCACUGAGAAUGGUUCCGUUCCCUCUCUCCCUCGGCUCCCCUCGGCCUUUUCCUUCUGCGUCUCCCUUCCUUUUCCCUUUUUUCCGCCAAAGAAAAAAAGAAAAGAAGAAGAAGAAGCAAAAGAAAGAGAAAGAGAAGGAGAAGAGGACAACAGAGAGAGGGAAUGCCCUUUUUUUUCAACCCCUU